CCCCUCGGAUGAAUCCGACGGUUCCUCCUUCCCCGUCCGCCCACGCCUCUCUCGACGGUUCCUCCUCCUCGUCCCCCGCGCUUCCCCGCGCCCCUCCUCAGCCGGCUCGCCGCCCCUGCUCCGCCAGCGCGGCGCCCCUCCUCCCGCGUUCUCCUCCAAUCGCACGGAUCGCGCAGAUCGAAGCUCGCGGAACCGCUGACCUCCAUUCAUGCGGAUCCACGGGCCGCCACGCCGCCGCUUGCCAGACGGGCCGCCGCGCAUCUCCGGCGUCACGAGCCGCCUCCGCGCCGACAACGAGCGGGGGGACACGCUGCUCUCUCCCAACCUGCGAGCGGCUCCGGGUUCCCGGCGUCGGCGUCGCGGCGAGCCACCUCCGCUCCGCCGACGAAGGCCCGCCGCGCCUCUCUCCCAAUUCGUGCCCGGCCCUCGCUCUCCGGCCUCACGGGGUGCCUCUCCCCCAAUCUGUGGCCGGCCUUCGCUCUCCAGCCUCGCGUGGCGCAUCUCCCCUGCCACCUCGCGACUCCCGUGGCCCCUCCGUGGUGACGCCGUCCACCGUGCCUCCCCGCCACCGAUCCUCCCUCCCCGAUCGCGCGCCGCAACUCCUCCCUCCCCGACGGUUCCAAGCUCCUCCUGCGCGCCGGCCCACCCCAUCCGCUCGCCUCCGUAGUUGCCGCGGGCCCACCCAUCCACGCGUCGCCGCCCCCGCCGCUACUCCAGCGAACUCUCCGUCAAAUCACUCCGGUCGCCGUCACAUCAUCAUGCCGCUCUGGCACUCAGCCUUGAUGGCCUCCCGGGCAGAGCGCGUGCUGCUUGUCCUCUUCAUCGUCGUCGCCCGGCGGCGGGAGCAACGUCGGCGGGGAUGUUGAGGUUGGCCCUGGGCCUGCCGAUCUCGCGUGCAGCGGCUUCGUAGGCGAGCGCGGCAUCCUCGGCGUUGGCGGAGGAUAUUGUGCCGGGCCAGACGGAGGGAUGUACUGACAUUUUUCGUCAAAUCCAAGGUCCAAGUUCAGAUCUUUUGCGCUCCUCCUCAACGCACAAACAACCAGCGUGACCAGGGACAACGAUGGUGCCGGAAUGGAGCUGGAUCGAACUCCGUCAAUGAAAUUGCCCACAUCCACGAUGCAGUUUCACUUGAUGGCGUGGGAGCCGUAGGAGCAACAUCCAGGCAGCAAUCAGUCGCCAAACUCAUCGCAGCAAGAAAGAAAAAAAUAUUUUCUUUUGGCGUGGGUACGAUGAAGUUUGGUCCUAGCACAAUCCAAGCUGUGAGUAGAGAGCUACCUGUAGGGGCAUUAUAUUUUUGCUUUUUCACUUUUUUCUGAAGUUUGAGCAGUGCAAGGCUCGUGCUUAUACGUAUGGAUACAAAGACUCUAAGAAAUCUUAUACAAUGCUCAUGUUCUGUUACUGAUUUAAAAUACAAGCAUUUUCUAUGAAGAAACCACCAAAAUCUAGAAAACACUCUCCAAGCAGAAUAUUCCUUUUAACAUCGGCUUCAGUAGUCUGCCGAGCUGCCUGCAGGAUGUAGCUUCUGCGUAUCAGGUACAUAAAUACUGAACUUCAGAUUUCUCAGCAAAACAAAGCUGUAUGGUUUGUGGUUUAUGGUCCUGCGUAUCAGGAUACGGUUAAGUAUUUGGGCCUGCAACAGUGCAUCAUAUAGUCAUGGUAGUGCCACUUGCUGAAAUUUUUGUUGCUUGCUUAACACUCAUGAACACAGGGCUGCAAGAAAUGCAUUAGAGAUGCAAUGGCUGUAUCCAAGCAAACCUCAAACAUGCUAAGAGAUUGUAUUGGCACUAAUAUAAGAGUUUCAUACCUCAUUUUCUCAUUCUGAACUUUUUAUACUAUAAAAAGAUGCAUUAAAAUUUAAAUAUAAAGUUUAGAUUUUUUAUUGAACUGUGCUAAUUGAUAAAUGAUGCCCGUUUUUCAUUGAACUGUACUAUGUGAAGUAUUAAGACCUUAGCUAAAUCUUAUCCCUACCAAGUGCAGGUUUUUCCUUUUGGAUGAAAUCCAUAAUCUCACCUAGGUGGAUGUAGAUGGGAGCCUGCUCAGGCGCAUUCAGACUUCAGAGCCAAUUGUGGAGGGUUUAUCUAACAUUUUAAAUGCCCAAAGAGUGGACUUUACAACCCACUUGUUACUAUCGUAAAGGAAGACAUGUAUUGGUGUUUUACCAAAUGCUAAAAAGAGGCUUCUUCCGGUUAUUUCCAUUUUAUUCUCGACCAAGUACUGCCAUCAGAUUCAGAGAGUCAAGCACUUCCUGGAUAGCAAUGGAUUUUGUGUUAGAGUGAAUCAUCAUGGCACGGCAGCAACUUCCAUGCCACAUUGACCUCCUGGUCUAGCUUUUCCUGUCCCUAUCAGCUUAUGUUCAGCUCACAACACCCUUGCUCCUCUUCCUUUUUAUUCUUUAGUGUCAUUUUUAUGAACAGGACUACAAGAAGAGGGAAGUUUGGGAAACAUCAAAAUAAAUGAGCACUUGCAGAGGAGCAAGUAUGGCAGAUGUUGAUAUACAUCGCAGACAAUGUUUCACUCUCCUUUUUGGUUCUUGACAUUUCUGUUUUACUGUUUAGUUUUGUUUUGCCUUCAUUAAUACUAUAUUUGGUUACUGCUCUGUGAAGCCUGAACUUUACUAUCAAUUAACUGAGUAUUGUAUACCUGACCUGUCUUUCUUUUAUGAAGUUAUAUGCACUCCUUUAUUUGUCCGUUUGUUCAA